AGAGGAAUAGCUGGGUCAAAUGGUGGUUCCAUUCCCAGAUUUCCAAGGAAUCUCCAUACUGCUUUCCAUAUUGGCUGUACCAAUUUACAGUCCCACCAGCAAU
rnacentral:pre_miRNA from 1 species